rnacentral:lncRNA from 1 species
GAGGCUUCCAUUUGAUGGAAAAGACAAAUGGGCCCCUACUUUCUAUGUGGGCCUCUAUGUCUCUGACUCAGAUCCAGCCACAUGCCAGAAGAGAAAGGGGGUGAAGCAGAGACCCGCACAGGGGAGCUAGAGGAAUAAACAGCCCAGGAAGAGCUGGUCACCUUUUCAUUUUAAGAGUUAAAGAGAACAGAGAAGAAGAAGAAAAGAGUCAGGCAAUGGAAUAGCAGGUGCAGCCAAAAGCGUGCCUGCCUCAGAGAGAGUCCAUUAGGGGCCAAGACACCGAGCAGGGACAAUGCGGCUGAGACAAUGGAAGCAGCUGAAAAGCCCUGGAAAUUGGGUGUGCAGACUCCCGCUUCUGGGAUGUCUUAACAGAUUAAUAAGGCUUUUGAGGAUUUCUAGAAACAUUUAUAUGAGUCAGAGCCCUAAGAGGGGCCAAUGUGGGGUUCUUUGAAGCUUCUCUUUUAGCAGCUUGAAACAGCAGAUGUCUCUGCACCCAGCAAGGAGGGGUGAGGCCUGGGCAAGCCGGGAAAAGCUAUUGUGUCUCUAGAAAAUGGGAGCCCACAAGGGGACUUUAUAACAGCCAUUGAAGUCAGAAGGCAGGCACAUUUCUUAGUUUGGGAACAAUUAUCUGGCCAAACAAUGGGAGGGAGGCAGCCACUGCUCAGGCACAAAAACCACGUGAUCUUCAGACUGGGGUUGAGAACAUUCUAGGAAGCCUAAGAGUGAGCCCUACAGGUCAGAAGUAACGCUUGCAAGACAAAGCCAGAAUUAUUAUUCCCACUGCAGAGGUAAGGAAACCGAAGCCCAGAAAAAUUAAGUGACUUGCCCAAAGUCCCUCAGGAGUGAAUGACAGAGUGGGCAAUCAAUGUGUAUCAGUUUGGCAUUCAACUGGCUGUAGCAGAGAUCCAAAGUAAGUGGCAUAAGCAAAUUAGGGGUUUGCUUUUCUCUCACAUAAAAUGAAGACCAGGAGUAGAUGGGAAGCCCAUCCUUAGCACUGGCUUCCAUUCUUGGGUCAUACCUCAUGGUCAUAAAAUGGCUGCUGAAGCUCCAGUCAUCAGCCCCACAUUUCAGGCAGGAAGAAGAAACAAGAGGAAAGGACAAAAGAGAUGCACCUCCCAGGUGAAUCAGCCAUGUUUAAAGAAGCCUACCAGUGAUCUCUGAAUAUUCGCAUUAAUCACCUCUAGCUUCUUAAGAAAGUCACUGAACGCUUCACCACUCAGAAAGUCCCGCUCUUCAGACAUUGGCGUGAGCCAAGAACUCCGGGAAAAUAUUCUUGCGCCUGCUCAUUAGCUAUUGGCUGGUCCAAAUCUCUUCUCUAGGAGGUGUGGUCCACUCUGCUCAAAUUACCUCAAGUCUCUACUUCUUUUAGGGGUAUAAGCCAGGCACAGGUCUUUGCUCUCACUGUACAAUCCUCAUAGGAUGCUAUGGGUGACUUAAGUGGCUGCUGUGCUCUGUUUUAGACAGAACUGUACUUCCAAAUGAUACAGUACUGAUCAAGGUAGGUAGAAAAGUGAAGACAGGAAUGGGUGCAGAGGAUGGUGACCAAUUGCAUACAUUUUUGUUAAUUCCCCAGCCAUCAGGGGUAAGUUGCCACAUUCUGCCCCAUUGCUAUCAACUUUUAUUCCAUGUCAGGGACCACAAGGGCUCCGUUUUUCACUGGCACAGCAAACAAGAGGCUCCACAAUCCUCUGUCGGGGAAGGCACUCGAGAGAACCUUGGGACCACUUGCCCUUUGAGACCGAAAUAGUUUGGAGCUCCAAGUGGGAACUGUGAAGCUGACGGCAAAAGAAUGUGACAGGGUUGUUCUUCCCACCAGCUUCCUCUUUCCCUGUUUCCAAAUUUCUUCCUGUGACAUUUCAAGUUACAAGGCUCCCAUCUCAGAACUUUGACUUUGAAUGUCUUUUCAUAUUGGCCUUAAAGAAGAUGGUGUCGUCAGUGACCUUUUUAAAAGACCACGGGGACUUAAUUAAAAACUAAACUUGGCCACUUAAUUCAGAUGGUCCUGUCGACUCCUCGGCACUGAUGUGAACUCAGCCUUGUCAGCUUGCAGCGGGCUACUGGCACUGCCCUUUGGUGUCCCGACAUUGCGGAGCUGCAGAGUGACAGGCGGGCUCUGGCCCAGGCUCCAGGACCAGCGAGGCUGCUCUUGACAGAGAGGGCCCCCUGCCACGGAGAGCCAAGGGCUCUGAUUGGGUGGGUAGUUCUGGGUAACUCGUGCUGGGAACGGCCCUCCAAAGGGAGAGAAUGGAGACACAGGGAUUUUGGUGAUGGCUAGUGUAAAUCAAGGGAAUUUCUGAGAGGUCUGUCUGGCUACCACACUCCAAAAUUCUCCUAGGUCCCUGUUUUCCUCUGAGUGACUUUGUAAAGAGACUAGAGCCCAUAUAAUGCCCCAUCCUGCUUCCUCCU